GCUAAUAUAUUUAGUAGCAAAUGGGUGAGUAACACGUACCUAACCUACCUUUUGGACCGGGAUAACUAUUGGAAACAGCAGCUAAUACCGGAUAAAAUAAAAAAAUGCAUGUUUUUUUUAUUAAAAGGAGCCUUUAAAGCUCCACCAAAAAAUGGGGGUGCGCAACAUUAGUUAGUUGGUAGGGUAAAGGCCUACCAAGACGAUGAUGUUUAGCGGGGCCAAGAGGCUGUACCGCCACACUGGGAUUGAGAUACGGCCCAGACUCCUACGGGAGGCAGCAGUAAGGAAUAUUCCACAAUGAGCGAAAGCUUGAUGGAGCGAC
rnacentral:rRNA from 1 species